rnacentral:rRNA from 1 species
UGCCAGCAGCCGCGGUAAUACGAAGGGGGCUAGCGUUGUUCGGAUUUACUGGGCGUAAAGCGCACGUAGGCGGAUCUUUAAGUCAGGGGUGAAAUGCCRRRGCUCAACYUYGGAACUGCCUYUGAUACUGGAGAUCUUGAGUUCGGGAGAGGUGAGUGGAACUGCGAGUGUAGAGGUGAAAUUCGUAGAUAUUCGCAAGAACACCAGUGGCGAAGGCGGCUCACUGGCCCGAUACUGACGCUGAGGUGCGAAAGCGUGGGGAGCAAACAGGAUUAGAUAUCCCUGGUAGUCCACGCCGUAAACGAUGGAUGCUAGCCGUUAGGCAGCUUGCUGCUUAGUGGCGCAGCUAACGCUUUAAGCAUCCCGCCUGGGGAGUACGGUCGCAAGAUAAAACUCAAAG